AAGUCGUAACAAGGUUUCCGUAGGUGAACCUGCGGAAGGAUCAUUAAUGAAUGAUAAUUUUUUGGGGUUUUCCCUGAAAAAUAAAUCACCAUUUGUGCAUUGUUAUUUAGAUAUACUUUGGUUAGUGCUUUGGUUCCAAAAACAUUUGGAAUCAACUUCUUGCUAACUCUAUCCUAUUUAAAGGACAGUUGGCUAUGAAGCGGCCUACCAAGGUUUUUUUUAUCAAACUCUUGUAUUUUGUCUGACCUAAAAACAAAUAAUUAAAUCAUAACUUUCAACAACGGAUCUCUUGGCUCUC
rnacentral:misc_RNA from 1 species